AGCUCAGAGGCAGAGCACAUGCUUAGCAGGCAUGAGGUCCUGGGUUCAAUCCCCAG
rnacentral:tRNA from 1 species